rnacentral:rRNA from 1 species
AACGUAGGAGACAAACGUUAUCCGGAGUUACUGGGCGUAAAGGGCGUGUAGGCGGUUUGUUAAGUCAGGGGUGAAAUGCCAAGGCUCAACCUUGGAACUGCCUUUGAUACUGGAGACCUUGAGUCCGGGAGAGGUGAGUGGAAUUGCGAGUGUAGAGGUGAAAUUCGUAGAUAUUCGCAAGAACACCAGUGGCGAAGGCGGCUCACUGGCCCGGAACUGACGCUGAGACGCGAAAGCGUGGGGAGCGAACAGG